UUUCCGUAGGUGAACCUGCGGAAGGAUCAUUAGUAGAACGGGCCCCGCUCCGGCGGACGCCCCACCUCCUAACUCUCACCCUGUGCACCGUGUCACCCCUUUUUCGCCCCUGUGCGAUCGAAAGUGAAGUCACGAAGUCGAAACGAAACACGAGAAGCAUAAAAUGAAGCAACGUAUCUCGUGGCUCUCGCAUCGAUGAAGAACGCAGC
rnacentral:misc_RNA from 1 species